rnacentral:rRNA from 1 species
GACGAACGCUGGCGGCGUGCCUAAUACAUGCAAGUCGAGCGGACCUCUUCGGAGGUCAGCGGCGGACGGGUGAGUAACACGUGGGCAACCUGCCUGUAAGACUGGGAUAACACCGGGAAACCGGUGCUAAUACCGGAUAAUCCUUUUCCUCACAUGAGGGGAAGCUGAAAGACGGUUUCGGCUGUCACUUACAGAUGGGCCCGCGGCGCAUUAGCUAGUUGGUGGGGUAACGGCCCACCAAGGCGACGAUGCGUAGCCGACCUGAGAGGGUGAUCGGCCACACUGAGACUGAGACACGGGCCAGACGCCUACGGGAGGCAGCAGUAGGGAAUCUGCCGCAAUGGACGAAAGUCUGACGGAGCAACGCCGCGUGGGCGAAGAAGGCCUUCGGGUCGUAAAGCUCUGUUGUCAGGGAAGAACACGUACCGGAGUAACUGCCGGUACCUUGACGGUACCUGACCAGAAAGCCACGGCUAACUACGUGCCAGCCGCCGCAGUAACAC